UUUUUUUUUUUUUUGUCUUUUUGUCUUUCUAGGGCUGCAUCGGCAGCACAUGGAGGUUCCCGGGCUAGGGGUCCAAUCGGAGCUGUAGCAACUGGCCUAUGCCACAGCCACAGUAAUGCCAGAUCCGAGCUUCAUCUGUGACCUACACCACAGCCCACCGCAAUGCUGGAUCCUUAUCCCACUGAGCAAGGCCAGCGAUCAAACCUGCAACCUCAUGGGUCCUAGUCAGGUUCAUUUCCACUGAGCCACGGCAGGAACUCCUAUUCAAUUCUAUGAAUCAACCUGUCUAAGCCAUGGGUUGCUGAAUGCUUCCUUGUACAAAUGUCACUUCAUUUACUUACUGGGUGCAAAUAAGCUACUACGAAGCAAUAUGUUUUGGUUUCUGAGCCAUCAGUUAUGAGUUUAAAUUUGGACUCUGGAAUGUAUCGGGCUCUGCAAUUUAGGGUAAGUUAAUUAACUUUCCUAGGCUUAAGUCUCUUCAUUUGUAAAACGAGGACUAUAUCUCAUAGGACUGUUGAGAACUGACUUGGGAUGACAUUGGAGAAGUGCUGAUUGAAAGGGGAGGCCUUGUCAUCAUCAUCAUAGGCCUCUUCAUUGUGAUCCGCUCGAUUCCUGGUUUUAGCUUUAACCAUAGGAACCCAGAGUGGAAAAACAUCUCGAGCCAUUUAUGCACUCAUUACUUUGGGGAAUUAAUUCAAAGUCACAGAGCAAGGGGUGGAAUAGAUUGUUUAUACCUCUCUGCCUGACUGUGAGACAUGGCGGAACCCACUUAAUGUAACAACACAGACAACUUCAAAAGAAAGGGAUUAAAUCCACAUUUAUUAAAAUGUCUACUGUGAAUGGAAAUACAUUAAUUUUUCAAUGAAAUAUUAUUUUACUACAAAGCAGGUUGAGUGGUGCAGAGAGGAGGAGAGAGUGAAAGGGUAGGAAAGGAUCUCUCUACUAAGGGCUUCUUUUUUGUGCUUUUUUCAAGCUAUCCCCCCACUAAAUACAAUAAAUGACUAUCAGAGGACAAGAAUUUUGUAAAAAGCCUUCAGCCUCAAGUUGGUUACUUUUUAAAAAUAAGUGGUUCUAUUUCCAAUUAAUUUGGAAAUCUUACUGAGAUAUCUUAAGAAUAUUACUAUGUUGCACAGGGCUUUACAUCAAAUAAAACUAGGCUGGAAUCUCGACUUGCCAUUUAUCAGAUCAGUGAUCUUGGGAAAGUCACACAAACUCUCUCAGGGUCACCAUCCUUAUUUAUAAAAGUAAAGGCAAUAUUAGUAUCUGUCUCAUGGAAUAGUUGUGGAGAUUACAUAAGGCAGCUGGGAUUCCUAACUAUACCUUACCCUCUCAAUUCCCCACUAGGAUUAACUGCUAUAGAAACUGCACUGUAAGCAACCAGAAAGCCAGAGAGAGGAACAAAUAUUCUUGACACUGGGCCAUUAGGAAUGUAGGGCUGUGAGCCCCAUGAGGAGGGCUACAGCAGAUUUGGCCCAGUUCACUACCUGUAGAAUUUGAGACUCUAGUACCUAAAAGAGAAAGUAAACAAGCCUGGAAGUCUCAAUAAAUUGGAGAGGCAGAAAUUAAAGUUUAGGGAGGCUAAGAAUUUUCAAGGCAUAAUGCCAGAGAGAAGUGAGUUGUACUGAGAGAGAUCUGGAGAUAUGCAGAGGUUACGUUGAGUCCCUGGGUGACUAUUCAUUCAUGCACACGUGGGGUUCAUUCACAAAACUCACAGAGUUGGGAUAAUUUGCAUACCCACCAGACAGAGUGGAGAGACCUUAUAACACAUAGUUCUCAUAAGGGGGUUAAAUCAGUCCUGGAAUUAUGGCUCUUCUGAACCCCACAAGCAAAACUUAAAAGCAAACCUCAGAAGGAUCAGAUAGAUCCCAAGUAACUUAACUACUUGUGUGCAUAAAUUCCAGCACUCUUUAAGGGAAUACUACAAACUCUAGCACCUAAAAACACAAAAUUUACAAUGUCUGGAAUGUAAUAAAAAACUACCAGGUGUGCAAAAAGCAGACUAUACAUCAUAAUCAGGGGAAAAAUAAUCAAUCAAUUGAAUAUCCAGAAAGGACAAACGCAAUGAAGUUAGCAGGUAAGAAUGUUUACUGUUUCAAACAUGCUCCAUGUUCAAAGAAGUAGCUGAAAAAGACUAUGAUGAGGAGGUAAAUGAAUGUUGAAAAGUCCCAAGUGAAAUAAACAGAUACGAAACGUAUAACAUCUUAAAUAAAAUUACACUGCUGGGACUAACGACUGAUUGGACGAUACAGGAAAAAAAGGCAGCGAAUUAAAGACACAGCAAUCUGAAAUAUUCAAAAUUAAGCUCACAGAGGAAGAAACGGCCAGAGCAUCGUGAUCUGCAGGACAGCAUCAAGUGGCUCCACGUGGAGGAAACUGGACUUGGAUGCUGAGGCAAGAAGAGGACAAGGACAUAAAAGAAUAUUUUUAUUCAUAUGCAUAUUGUAUCUUUUGUUAUCACUCUUUUUUUGGGGGGGAGGGGGAACAGCAACCAUAAUUAAACCCACCAUGCCUUUGGUAUCAUCAAUGGUGUGUCCUUGGCAUUCAUGUGAAAAUCCUUUAAUUACUUAGUUCAUCACCAUCGUAAGUCCCUUUUGGAAUGAAGCUGGGUACAAACAGAUACUUCUUAAGAGUAAAGCGUCUACAGAAAUAUAAAGUAGUCCCUUGAUCAGAAGAAGUGAAACGCAUUGCAUUAUAAACCCACUAAGAAAUGAAGAGACACAAAAACACAGGCACAGUGAACAACUACAAACAGAAGCAGGGACACCUACUGCAGGAGAAAGAGAACAGCAUUUCAGUACAGCCGAAAUCACACUGUUUCUGCACGACAUUCACAGUUCCCUGCAUCCAUCAUGGGGGUCAGUUUGCCUCAAACCAGCGUUUGGAACAUCCGGUUGUUUUCCCAUCUUACCGGUAGCUUCUUGCUUAGAGAAGAUUAAGUGCAAUUGAGAAGAUAUAUGUGCCUGCCUGGGAAACACUAGUUAAGGUGUAAAAACAAUCCCAGGUCCAUACAUAGGAAUAUUACGAAAUAUCCCCAGGCACCAAUUGCUCUCAAGCAGCCCACUCCAAAGAGGAUAUGAUGUCUGCAGGCCUCCCACAGUUGUUGUAAGCUUUAUGAACCUGCCAGAAUUCUGAAGAAUCCUUGCAUCAUCAGGAUAUCCAAAUAUAGGCAUGUCUAUUAUACUGUUGUCAACAAGUCAAGGUCACCAAUUACUUCAUUUACUAAAAGGGAUUUUGCAAGGUUUUUUGGGAAGAAGCAUUGGUUAUUUGAAGGAUUUUUAAGGCACUACGUAAUUCUUUGAAAAAAGUUCAACAGGAUUAGAUAUUUGAAUAUAAGCCUUGUCCUUGAUAAUGUGAUUUUUGAACAUUCAAUUUGGGAUAUCAUUAUGAUUCACUUCUUGCACUACAAAAUUCAUCACCUUUCUUCUAGCUUCCUGGUUAAAAUUAUAAUUUCUAAGACUAAGAAUCACAAUUUUCUUUCUAACCUUGUGCCUUUCAUGAUAAUUUAGGGGGAAAAAAAAGAAAUCGAGAAGCAUAUUAUGACAGGUAAUCAUUUGCAAACACACAACUCUUUCAAUGCCUGCCAUGUUCGGCUUCAUUUUAUAGCAUCUGUCUUGGCAAUAUAAAUUGUGCUUGGCUGCAGAGAUGUGCAGUGCUGUACAGUGAAGGAAAAACAAUUGUGACAACUGAAAAAAUAAAAAAAAAAAUGUGUGCGUAUGUGGUUCAGAAUGGAGAAACUCUUUCCUUUUCCAGCUUCCUUUCAAAGGGGGAUGAUGUUAUUUUAUUUUUGUUUUUUUUGGAAUGGCUGUUAUUUUGAUUGGCUCCUUGUUUUCUUUCACAGCAGAGCAAUGCCACAAGAGGAAAGAGACAACUGUCACAUCUGAGAGGGUUGCCAAACUAUCUCAAACCCGUCCAAAAGGAUCACCCUCACCCGUUGCACAGAACAGAGCAAUUCAGCUCAGCACAGGCAGAUGGAUUGUGUCAGUAAUAUUUACUAUUAUAAAAGCUAUGGUUUUCUAAACAAAAGCCUGUAUGACAUUAAUUAAAGUAGUAGCACAGGCAUUGUGUAAGAUUAUAUAUAAUAUUGUGACUAUUUAGAAUCACACUAUUUAUCUAUACUUUUGAAACCUGACUUUUAUACAACUUUUCAAAAAAUCACUUGAAAUAUGUGUUUAAAACAUUCAGUUUUGUAUUUUUUUAAACUAGAGCAUGGAAAAAAUCCAAAAUUUAAAGAAGUAUUCACUGGCAACUUCAAAAUCAAAUCGAAUUACUUAAUGUUUUAUCUUCCAAUGGAUUUUGGUAGAUCAGUUUAAAUACAUUUGCAAUCCUUGAAAUGCAUACUCUGUAGUUAAGUAUAUUUAAAGAAAUACUCUAGUUCAACCUAGUGGAUUCAUCUGUCUUACAUUCAAUCACCGUUCAAAUGAACCACUUGAAUCACAACACACUUUGUUUUAUUGAUUAUUUAAGAUGACAUAAAAAUGAAAUAAGUAGGAGUUCCCGUGGUGGCGCAGUGGUUAAUGAAUCCGACUAGGAACCACGAGGUUGCAGGUUCGGUCCCUGCCCUUGCUCAGUGGGUUAACGAUCUGGUGUUGCCGUGAGCUGUGGUGUAGGUUGCAGACACAGCUCGGAUCCCGAGUUGCUGUGGCUCUGGCGUAGGCCGGUGGCUAUAGCUCCGAUUCGACCCCUAGCCUGGGAACCUCCAUAUGCUGCAGGAGCAGCCCAAGAAAUAGCAAAAAGACCAAAAAAAAAAAAAAAAAAAAAAGAAAUAAGUAAAACGUUUUAUUUGGAGGCAAUACAUAUAAAUUGUCUAUGUGAUCAAUAUUGAUAAUUAAAAAGCAUCCAGACGAUUCAAAAAUAAAUACAUUGCUCUAUGUUUUACUUUGUACAAGUGCUGCAUAUUACAGAGAAGUAAGGGGAGCAAAGAGGACUGCUCAUUGGGGCUAAUGUACAGAAAGAGCAGGCAUAAUGGAUUGACUGCCACUGGCCCCAUUAGAUGGACAUAGACUCUUUCACUAGAGUCUUAAAGGAGAGUAACUUUAACUAGGAUUAUUGUGUAUUAUCUGGUUUGAAAACAACAUACUCAGAAGAAAUGAUUACCAAGACCCUUCCAUAAGUACACUCUGUAAUGCAUCAAAAGAGAGCUGUUGGUUGGACUAGUUUCACUGCUUUAAAGUCAGUAUAACCAAGAGGACAUAAACAUGUGACCACAUCAACACACAUGUAACGUGUAAGAUACUUAAAGAAUUUCAAGCCACAAGGUUCUGAAAUAAAAUUCCAAUAAAUAUGAAAAGUAACAAAGCAAAAAAAAAAAAAAAAA
rnacentral:lncRNA from 1 species